AUGUUGCAAACAAAAGAAAUUGCCAUGCUCCAUAAACUACAUUUGCCAUGGUCCAAAAAUAUGAAGCAAUUUUUUCAUGUUAAAAAGAAAAGAGAAAAUUGCCAUGGCAAAAGCAUGUUCAAAUUUUCCAUGGUAUUUACCAAACUUGCUAUAUUUUAUGCGAUUAUAAAAUUGGCAUGUAUGCGAAAACAACACAAAAAAGGAUCAAAUUUGCCAUGCAAAAAUGCAGAUUCAAAAUUUGUCAUGGAAAAAAUAGCAUAUUUCAAAUUUGCCAUGGGAAAAUGCAUAUUCAAAUUUGCCAUGAAAAAAAUGAAUAUUUCAAAUUUGCCAUGUAAAAAAUGCAUAUUUUAA
rnacentral:rRNA from 1 species